GACCAGCAGAAGGGAGAGGUAAGGCCCGGAGGAUGGACUGGCUAGGAGUUAAAGGAAGUUAGAGCACUGAGAGGGGAGGUGGGCCGGAACCACCAAAAGGCCUCAAAUGCCCUGUGGAAAGAAUCAGGACUUUGCCACAGGUACUAGGGAGCCAUGGAAAGUUUUCCAGCAGGAGGGUGAGAGCAUCAGUGCAGCUAUGAUUUUAGGGUGAUGAGCCCACCUUCAGAUCAGGGUGGGACUAAAGAUCUAACCUCCAAGGCAGAGCCCGCCAGGCCCCCUACUCCACCCCCUGGGGGUACCUGGGGCUGGGCAGUGUCUCAGUGGGGCACCUGAGGUGGGGGAGGAGGACGAUAAGCACAUGGGUGCAGCACAUAAGGGGAAAUGGAGGCAGAGAAAGAGGGUCACUGGCUUGCUCAGGGCCACAGGACAGGCAAGUUCCAGGGCUGGGAUUUGAACCCAGGCAGUCUGGCUCCAAGGCCCUCAUGGUUUUUUUUCUUUUUUGCUUUUUAGGGCCACACCCAUGGCAUAUGGAAGUUCCCAGGCUAGGGGUCUAAUCAGAGCUACAGCCACAGGCCUAUGCCACAGCCACAGCAACACGGGAUCUGAGCCAUGUCUGCAACCUACACCACAGCUCAUGGUAACACCAGAUCCCCAACCCACUGGGCGAGACCAGUGAUUGAACCUGCAUCCUCAUGUAUUCUAGUCCAGUUGGUUAACCAUUGAGCCGCGAAGGGAACUCCACAAAGCCCUCAUCUUUUUUUAUUUUUUAUUUUAUUUAUUUAUUUAUUUAUUUAUUUUGUCUUUUUGCUAGUUCUUUGGGCCACUUCUGCGGCAUAUGGAGGUUCCCAAGCUAGGGGUCUAAUCGGAGCUGUAGCCGCUGGCCUACGCCAGGGCCACAGCAAUGCGGGAUCCGAGCCGCGUCUGCAACCUACACCACAGCUCGCGGCAACGCCGGAUCAUUAACCCACUGAGCAAGGCCAGGGACCGAACCCGCAACCUCAUGGUUCCUAGUCGGAUUCGUUAACCACUGCGCCACGACGGGAACUCUCAAGGCCCUCAUCUUUAAGCCCUUUACAGGAAGGGCUUCUGCCUUCAGUACCAAGCUCCAGCCCUAAAGCAGCUCACUUAGACUCAGCCUCCCUAUUGUCCUUAACACCUCCCAGGUAUUAGCUGAUCCCCUCCCCUGUCACCCCCAGCAGCCCCUGGGCCAUCCAGCCUCUGGGUCCAGCCAAAGCCUUUCUGCAAUUAAAUAGGCUCUAGUGGACACACACAUAUACACACACACACACACACACACACAUCACUUGCUUGGUGCCCAUUAUGGGCUGAACUGUGUUACCCCAAAAUUUAUACAUUGAAAUCCUAACCCCUAGGACCUCAGCACGUGACUGUAUUUGGAGACAAGGUCAUUAAGGAGGUAAUUAAGCUAAAAUGAGGUCAUGAGGGUGGGCUGUAAUCCAAUAUGACUGGUGUCCUUAUAAGAAGAGGAGAUUAGGACAGAGACACGCACAGAGGGGAGACAUGUGAGGACACGGGGAGAAAGCAGCCAUCUGCAAGCCAAGGAGAAGAAAUCAAUCCUGCAGACACCUUGUCUCAGACUUAUCUCCAGCCUCCAGAAGUGUGAAAAAAUAAGUUCUUGUUGUUUGAGCCACCUAAUCUGUGGUACAUUGUGAUGGCAGCCCCAGCAAACUCCACAUUGCCCAUGAGACAAGCUUCCCCAGGUCCAGAACUUCAAUAGUCAGGGAUCUUUGGUCUGUAAAUGACAAAAUAAACAAAUACUUGAUUCAGACUAGCUUAAACAGAAAGGGAGCUGUUGUAACAAAAUCUAUGGCUUCAGGCAUAGUUCAAUCCAGGUGCUCAAAUCAUAACAAGAUCAUCUGCUUUCCUCUCUAUUAAUUCCAUUCGCUGGGGUUGGGGGGCUUCCCACAUGGUGAUUAGAUAGCUCCUAGGAAGACCAGGUUUCUAUCAGCUCAGUAACCCUAGAGAAAGUGUGUCAUUGUCCCCCUAAAUUCAGCAAAUGUUCAGGAGUUCAUGCUGAUUGGACCAACUUGGGUCAUGUUGGGUGGCCUCAAGCCAAGCACUGAAGCCAGAGGUUCAGAAUCCCCUGAUUGGCCAGCCCCGGGUAUUUUUGAUUGGGCUCCUCCAGAUAGACACCCUGAGGCAAAAAUGAGGGCCUUACUGUGUGGGCAACUGGAGCUCAUUGGGGGCCUCUAGGAUACCAUGUAGAGCAUGCCUUGGAGUUAUCUCAAGACAGGGACAAGGGAGCUGCAGUAUUUGUCACUGACUUCCCAUUUAUAAAGGCUAAGGGCUGCAAUAAUUCUCCUGUCUUCUGGCCUGCUCUGCCCAUGGCUAAGUGAGCUCUAGCACUCACAAAGUACCAUCAGAGAGAUGGCUGCAAAUGUUCUCAGUAGGCAGUCAGCUCAAGAGGAUACAGGUGGGGUUGCUCCAUGGAAUCUCAGCCUCCCUCCCUGGAGCCCUGCCUGAACCUCAUGAGCCAAAAGCAUGACAAGGGAGCGCCCCCAACCCCCCGGCCCCAGGAAAAUCUAAGUGAAGGGAGGGUGCAGGAGAGGCUGUAAAAGCAAAAAAUUGUCUAAAUGGAGUCAGUUUCCCUUCAUUCUUCCCAUGAAUGUCAUAUGUUCCUAAUGGCUGCCUCCUGAUAUUUCCCUCAAAUUUUCCAAGACCUUCAGGCCCCUUAUCAGUUGAAAGGGGUGAUCAUGCUUUCAAACUAUACAGAGAGGACCAGGGGGUGGGAAUAGAAGGGGCCAUUCUGCUCUUGCUUCUGUAGCUGCCACAAGGUGGCGCUGCUGAACAAUGGUCUUGCACAGUCUUGUCUGCUUUCCCCUGGCUUGUCUUCACUAAGCCAAAUUCUUGCACAGAACCCAGUCGAACUCCAACGUGGGUCCCCAAGGUUAGAGUCACUUGGCUUUUACUUAUGAGUGAGUUCAGGCCUCAAUCACCAGGACAGGGAAAGUGAAUGAGCCAGGACUUCCAGCCUCCAUCACAUUUUACAUUAGAACCAAACAGCUUCUUCCCCCAACCCUCCCUCCCACUUCCUUUAGAACUAAGUUCCCACUGGGACACCGCUGAAUAUCCUUGCCUUUUUUUUUUUUUUUUUUUUUGGUCUUUUUAGGGCCACACCCACGGCAUAUGGACAUUCCCAGGCUACAGGUCGAAUCAGAGCUGCAGCUGCUGGCCACAGCCACAGCAACACCAGAUCCGAGCUGCACCUGCAACCUAUGCCACAGCUCACAGCAACACAAGAUCCUUAACCCACUGAGCAAGGCCAGGGAUCUUACCCACAUCUUCCUGGAUACUAGUCGGGUUCAUAACCUGCUAAGCCAUAACGGGAACUCCCCUUGCCCACCUCUAUACCUCCCUUGGAGCCACCUCUACCUAUCAGAGAACCUCAGAAGGGAAGGAAAAGGAACAUCAAUCCCUUUGCUCCCAUGAGUUCCACCUCAUCUCCACCAGCCCACUCUGCACACCAAGGAGUUUGGGGAUAGGUGUAUUAGUCAGCAAUCACUGCAUAACAAGUUCCCAGUCCCAGCAGCUUAACCUAACACUCAUUUAUUAUCUCAGUUUCUGUGGAUCAAGAGUCUAGACAGUGCUUAGCGGGUCCAACAUGCUACGGGUUUCCUGCAAGACUGCAACCAAGGUGUCAGCUGAGGCCACAGCCAUCUGUAGGUUCAACUGGAACCAGAUCUGUCUGCAUGUUCAAGAGGCCUUGCACACUUCCACUCACUUUCUUGGAGCCUAGCUGCCAUGCACGUAACCCCAGGCUGGUCUGCCAGGACAGCAUCCCUGCUCUUCAUGGAAGAAAGCCCAAUUGUCCCAGCCAACAGCCAGCUGACCCUCACAUGAGGGAGCCCAGCCAAGAUUCGCUGAGCCGCCUGCAACCCCAAGUUGAGUGCAGAGGCAGGAAUGAGUCUGGAUGAGAUCAGAAGAAUCACCUGGCUCAUCAGCAGACUCCUGAACCCCAAGAAAGGCUUAGUGCUUUCAGCCCUUGGAUUGGGGGCUGGUUUGACAAAUCCAAUCUGUGACAGCACCAUCAUCACCAUUCUGCCACGACCACGGGCACCCACUUAAAUAUGAAUAAAACCAGGAGGAAUCAUUCAACUGACUCUCUCCCUAAAUAAAGAAGUUCUACUUCACGGACUUUAGCUGUCUCGACUCUACAAAGGAAAUGCGGCUGGCAGCUUCUCCUGAUUAAAAAAUGUCAAGUUCCACCUCGCCAGGCAUCUCAAUACCCUCCUUUUCCAUCCACCUUCCCAGGAAGGCUCAGGAGGGUGGGGAGGCUCUUUUAGGCUUGCGGACUGGACCAGAGUUCCCAGGGCCACUCGGCUGCCCAAAAUGGGACCCCCUGCCCGCCCUGCUCGUCCUGGCUGCUUGCUACAGAUGUCUCCUGAGGAUCUGCUGGCCUUUUCUUUACAAUGCCCAAGACCUACUCAAGAAGAAGAAGCCAUGCUGAAUGGAGGAUGGCAGAACUGGCUUUGGGAAGCCUCAAACCUCAGCACCUGCAGCCGGGGAGCAACAUGUGUUGCAGAUUUGGCCAUGACCUUGAGCUUGUCACUGUCCAGGAACCCUUGGCAAAGAAAUGACAUCCCUCUGUCUACUUCCCUGACCCAUCCCUAAGUCCCCUAAACCGCCUCCAAGGUCUGGCUUCUGACAGCACUGCCCAGACCUGCCCCCAGCAUCUCCAUUCUCACUGGUCGAUGUCACAGCUGUACCUGUAAAUAAAUACAGUUACUCUCACCCCAGAAAGCAAGGAUUCUCAGCUGAAGAGCUCAGUGGUCAAGAGCAGAACCUCUAGAAUCAGGGACCUCCCUGGUGGUCUAAGUAGUUAGGACUGGCCAUUUUUGCCAUUGUGGCCUGAGAUCCCACAUCAAGCAUCUACAUGCUGCAG
rnacentral:lncRNA from 1 species